CCCUUAGAUGUUCUGGGCCGCACGCGCGCUACACUGAUGCAUUCAACGAGUCUAAAACCUGCUCUGAUAGGGGUGGGUAAUCUUUUGAAUGUGCAUCGUGAUUGGGAUAGAUGAUUGCAAUUUUUCAUCUUCAACGAGGAAUGCCUAGUAAACGCAAGUCAUCAGCUUGCAUUGAUUACGUCCCCGCCCUUUGUACACACCGCCCGUCGCUCCUACCGAUUGAAUGAUCCGAUGAAUAUCAUGGAUUGAGGAUUAUAGCAGGUUCGCCUGUCUUGAUCUUCGAGAAGUGAAGUAAAUCUUAUCAUUUAGAGGAAGGAGAAGUCGUAACA
rnacentral:rRNA from 1 species